UUGUUGUCUCUAUAUUUUCUGUCUUUGUCUUUUGGAGUCACAGUCAGUCUCUAGUGAAACAUCAACGGUUGGUUGUACUACAAUCCCAGCUUGAUAAUAUACAUCUAUAUUUCUAUGUACUUAAUUAAUGUCUCCUCUACGCGGAUUAAUUCCUUCUCUCUGUUCUUUCUUAUUUUUUCAUUUAUUCAUUCAUGGUCUAAACUUAUUUACAUAAUCGGCUAGG
rnacentral:lncRNA from 1 species